GCCACAAAGCUAGCUCAAACACCUUAAAUAAAAUAACAAUCUAUAUACCUACUCAUGUACAAAACACAAAUUAACUAAAUCAUUUUACCCCCCCAGUAUGGGCGACAGAAAAGGGAACACGAAGCCAUAGACAAAGUACCGCAAGGGAAAGCUGAAAAAGAAAUGAAAAACUCAUCAAAGCACAGAAAAGCAGAGAACUCCCCUCGUACCUUUUGCAUCAUGAUUCAGCCAGUAAAAUACAUGCAAAGAGACCUCUAGUUUGUAACCUCGAAACCCGACGAGCUACUUCGAGACAGCCUAUCCAGGGCCAACCCGUCUCUGUGGCAAAAGAGUGGGAAGAUCUCCAAGUAGAAGCAAAAGACCUACCGAGCCGGGUUAUAGCUAGUUGCCCAACAAAUGAAUAAAAGUUCAGCCCCGCUAGGCCCAAAUCACAACAGUUACACACCAAAAGACGAAGCGCCACUAGACGGGAGUUAGUCAGAGGAGGUACAGCUCCCCUGACCAAGGACACAACCUUUUAAGGAGAUUAAGGAAUACAUAAAAAUCAAGGCCACAGGCCUCAGUGGGCCUAAAAGCAGCCACCUGAACAGAAAGCGUUAAAGCUCAGACCAAAUAAAGCCUAUCAUCACAUUAACUACUCCAAAAUCCCCUAUCGCACUGGGCCUUUCUAUGCCCCCAUAGAAAAGACUAUGCUGAAAUGAGUAACAAGAAGACCGAACUUCUCCCCGCACAAACGUAAAUCGAAUUGGACCAUCCACCGAUAAUUAACGAACCCAAUAACAGAGGGCAAUACACCACCGCCACCGCAAACCAAGAAAACCGUGUUCUACACCAAUCGUUACCCCUACACAGGAGUGCUAAACCAAGGAAAGACUAAAAGAAAAAAAAGGAACUCGGCAAACCUAAACCCCGCCUGUUUACCAAAAACAUCGCCUCUUGCCCACACAGUAUAAGAGGUCCCACCUGCCCUGUGACUAAAAGUUUAACGGCCGCGGUAUCCUAACCGUGCGAAGGUAGCGCAAUCAAUUGCCUUUUAAAUGAAGGCCUGUAUGAAUGGUAUAACGAGGGUUUAACUGUCUCUUUUUUCCAGUCAGUUAAAUUGAUCUGCCCGUGCAGAAGCGGGCAUAAAACUACAAGACGAGAAGACCCUAUGGAGCUUUAGACACCAACCAAUUUACGAAAAGCAAUGAAAAACAUUAUAAACACCCGUAAAACUGGCACAACUGUCUUAGGUUGGGGCGACCGCGGGAGAAAAAAAAGCUCCCAAGCAGACAGGGCCACCCUGAAACUAAGAGUCACAACUCUAAGUCACAAAAAUUUUGACUGAAAUGAUCCGGCCAUGGCCGAUUAACGAACCAAGUUACCCUAGGGAUAACAGCGCAAUCCCCUCCCAGAGUCCAUAUCGACAAGGGGGUUUACGACCUCGAUGUUGGAUCAGGACAUCCUAAUAGUGCAGCCGCUAUUAAGGGUUCGUUUGUUCAACGAUUAAAGUCCUACGUGAUCUGAGUUCAGACCGGAGAAAUCCAGGUCGGUUUCUAUCUGUAAAACAAUCACUCCUAGUACGAAAGGACCGAAGUGAAAAGGCCUAUGUUAAAAGCAAGCCUUCCACCUAACUGUUGAAAACAACUAAAACAGGCAAAGGUGGGUACCCCCAGGCCUGAGAAAAAGGCCACCUAAUUAUUCGC
rnacentral:rRNA from 1 species